UGUGACGGCGUGCCUUUUGCAUAAUGAACCUACGAGUUACUUUUUCCGGCAAGGUUAAGCAUCUUGAGAUGUGGAUCCGAAGCGAAAGCGAGUCUGAACAGGGCGGAUAGUCGGAAGGAGUAGACGCGAAACCAAGUGAUCUACCCUUGGGCAGGUUGAAGGUUAGGUAACACUAACUGGAGGACCGAACCGAUAAGCGUUGAAAAGCUUCCGGAUGACCUGAGGGUGGGGGUGAAAGGCUAAUCAAACUUGGAGAUAGCUCGUACUCCCCGAAAUGCAUUUAGGUGCAGCCUUGAGAAUUACUAAUGUGAGGUAGAGCGACUGAUAAGAUGCGAGGGCUUCACCGCCUAUCAAGUCUUGAUAAACUCCGAAUGCGCAUUAGUUCGAUCUCAGGAGUGAGGGCAUGGGUGCUAAGGUCCAUGUCCUAAAGGAGAAGAAUCCAGACCAUCAGCUAAGGUCCCCAAAUAAACACUAAGUUGAACUAACGAAGUCAGAUUGCUAAGACAGCUAGGAUGUUGGCUUGGAAGCAGCCAUUCAUUUAAAGAGUGCGUAACAGCUCACUAGUCGAGGAGUUUGGCGUGGAUAAUAAUCGGGCAUCAAGUGUUUUACCGAAGCUAUGGGAUACGUAAGUAUCGGUAGGGGAGCAUUCCACUCUGCGUUGAAGGCGAAGCGUGAGCUUUACUGGAGCGUGUGGAAAAGCAAAUGUAGGUAUAAGUAACGAUAAAGGGGGUGAGAAACCCCCUCGCCGCAAGACUAAGGUUUCCUGAUCAACGCUAAUCGGAUCAGGGUUAGUCGGGUCCUAAGGCUCAGCCGAACGGUGAUGCCGAUGGCAGAACAGGUUAAUAUUCCUGUACUAGCAUUAAGAGUGACGUGGAGACGGAGGAGUGACAACGCCGCGGACUGACGGAAUAGUCCGUUAAAGGGUGUAGAUGUUGAUU
rnacentral:rRNA from 1 species